rnacentral:lncRNA from 1 species
GGCUUCGUCAAGGAAAUGGGCUGUGCGGCUACACCAACACCAAAGUAAGGGAAGCAACUAUCAAAGGGGUAUGGCGUCGACCUUUCCAAGCUCUCUCCUAAGCCAACCGAUGAUGACUACAUCAAGAAUGGCUGGAGGUUUGUCUAGUGGUGAUUGUAUCUAUCCUAGGUCAAGUGCAGAAGGGGGGCUUGGCCCUGGCAAUC